ACUUUCCAGGCAGUCUCCCUCCGCCUCCCGGUGAGGAGCCUUUACUGGGGGUCCUCUUCGCUCUUGGAGGUCUGUAACGAGGGCUCCGGCACCCCCUAAUCCCCGCCGAAGGGCCUGGCUCAGGGGGGGAGGGGGGCAGCUCCCAGUGACAGGUGGAAGGGAUUUCUCCGGAGCCCCCAGACAAUGGCUGCUGCGGGCAGCUUCUGUUUGCAUUAAGGCUUUGGCAGCAAUCGGUUAAUUACGGGGCUAGCAGCAAAUGUCAGAAGGUGCUGGAAGGCAGUGGAAAAGGAAUAAAGCCCCCGCCAAGCGCUAAGGAGCUUCCUUCCCGGCGGGGGCGGGGGGAGCACAUUUUACAGUGACCUCCAGAGAGUCCUACGGGUACAUCCAUCCCGGCCACUGGCAAGCACCAGAGACAGCCAGAGGAGUCCAGGGAGCCUUCUAAUCAGAGAAGAAUCUCGGCUGGGCGCUGCUCGAUGCUCUCCACCACGUGCCAAGCCCAAGUCAGGCCCUGCCCUGGAGGAGCUCCCCAAGAUCCUGGGGCAGCAGCCCAGCACGCACACCAAGAAGGUUGUACACAACACAACUUGGGAGAGCAGAACCCAAAAGCAAGCAUCAUGGAUCCAGGGUCCCCAAAGAAACAGAAGAGAUCAGAAAACCCCAAUAUGGAAGGUAAAGGAAGAAGACGGCGGUGAUGGUGGUGGUGAUGACGAUGACGAAGAAGAAGAAGAGGAAGAAGGAAAGAAGGUGGCAGGAGAAUACAUACUGUCUUGGGAAUAUUUUCAUCAAAAAUGGCCAAAAUAAAGACAUGUUUGUCCCUAAAAGGACCAAGGUUCAAUUACAUGGAAAGUUCUUCCAUGGAA